rnacentral:rRNA from 1 species
AUUGAACGCUGGCGGCAGGCCUAACACAUGCAAGUCGAGCGGAUGAAGGGAGCUUGCUCCUGGAUUCAGCGGCGGACGGGUGAGUAAUGCCCAGGAAUCUGCCUGGUAGUGGGGGAUAACGUCCGGAAACGGGCGCUAAUACCGCAUACGUCCUGAGGGAGAAAGUGGGGGAUCUUCGGACCUCACGCUAUCAGAUGAGCCUAGGUCGGAUUAGCUAGUUGGUGGGGUAAAGGCCUACCAAGGCGACGAUCCGUAACUGGUCUGAGAGGAUGAUCAGUCACACUGGAACUGAGACACGGUCCAGACUCCUACGGGAGGCAGCAGUGGGGAAUAUUGGACAAAGGGCGAAAGCCUGAUCCAGCCAUGCCGCGUGUGUGAAGAAGGUCUUCGGAUUGUAAAGCACUUUAAGUUGGGAGGAAGGGCAGUAAGUUAAUACCUUGCUGUUUUGACGUUACCAACAGAAUAAGCACCGGCUAACUUCGUG